UACGUAGGGGGCAAGCGUUGUCCGGAAUUAUUGGGCGUAAAGAGCUCGUAGGCGGCUUGUUGCGUCGGCUGUGAAAACCCAUGGCUCAACCGUGGGCUUGCAGCCGAUACGGGCAGGCUAGAGUUCGGUAGGGGAGACUGGAAUUCCUGGUGUAGCGGUGAAAUGCGCAGAUAUCAGGAGGAACACCGGUGGCGAAGGCGGGUCUCUGGGCCGAUACUGACGCUGAGGAGCGAAAGCGUGGGGAGCGAACAGG
rnacentral:rRNA from 1 species